rnacentral:rRNA from 1 species
AGAUUGAACGCUAGCGGGAUGCUUUACACAUGCAAGUCGAACGGCAGCGCGGACUUCGGUCUGGCGGCGAGUGGCGAACGGGUGAGUAAUAUAUCGGAACGUGCCCAGUAGCGGGGGAUAACUACGCGAAAGCGUGGCUAAUACCGCAUACGCCCUACGGGGGAAAGGGGGGGAUCGCAAGACCUCUCACUAUUGGAGCGGCCGACAUCAGAUUAGCUAGUUGUGAGGUAAAGCUCACCAAGGCGACGAUCUGUAGCUGGUUUGAGAGGACGACCAGCCACACUGGGACUGAGACACGGCCCAGACUCCGACGGAGCAGCAGCGGGAAUUUGACAAGUGGGAAACCUGAUCCAGCCAGUCCCGCGUGUG